AACGCACCUUGCGCUCCUUGGUAUUCCGAGGAGCAUGCCUGUUUGAGUGUCAUUAAUAUAUAAAUCAACCCUCUCUUGAUGAGUGGUUUGGAUGUGGGGGUUUGCUGGCGGCCUCUUGGAGGAUUGAUUCAGCUCCCCUGAAAUGCAUUAGCAGAACAAACCCGUUCAUUGGUGUGAUAACUAUCUACGCUAUUGAAUGUGAGGUGGCAGUUCAGCUUUCUAACAGUCUUUGGACAAAUUCAUCAUUAAUGUGGCCUCAAAUCAGGUAGGACUACCCGCUGAACUUAA
rnacentral:misc_RNA from 1 species